rnacentral:rRNA from 1 species
GACGAACGCUGGCGGCGUGCUUAACACAUGCAAGUCGAACGGAAAGGACCUGCUGUUGUGGGGUGCUCGAGUGGCGAACGGGUGAGUAACACGUGAGUAACCUGCCCUUGACUUUGGGAUAACUUCAGGUAACUGGGGCUAAUACCGGCUAGGAGCUCCUGCUGCACGGUGGGGGUCGGAAAGUUUCGGCGGUUGGGUAUGGACUCGCGGCUUAUCAGCUUGUUGGUGGGGUAGUGGCUUACCAAGGCUUUGACGGGUAGCCGGCCGGAGAGGGUGAACCGCCCCAUCGGGACGAAGCUACGGCCCUGUCGGCACUGGGCGGCAGCCGCCGGCUGUGUUGCCCAAGGCACGGCAGCCUGGGGCCACGCCGCACAGCCCGCAGCCACGGCCAUCCGCUUCUGUCCGGCUGUAGCGUGUGACGAUGGGGCAGUGCCGGUAACGGGUAGGGAAGACACGGCUACCUCCAUG